rnacentral:rRNA from 1 species
GACGAUCGCUGGCGGCGUGCUUAACACAUGCAAGUCGAGCGGAAAGGCCACUUCGGUGGUACUCGAGCGGCGAACGGGUGAGUAACACGUGAGUAAUCUGCCCCUGGCUUUGGGAUAGCCACCGGAAACGGUGAUUAAUACCGGAUAUGACCACUUCACGCAUGUGAUGGUGGUGGAAAGUUUUUCGGCCAGGGAUGUGCUCGCGGCCUAUCAGCUUGAGGGUGAGGUAAUGGCUCACCAUGGCUUCGACGGGUAGCCGGCCUGAGAGGGUGACCGGUCACACUGGGACUGAGACACGGCCCAGACUCCUACGGGAGGCAGCAGUGGGGAAUAUUGGACAAUGGGCGGAAGCCUGAUCCAGCAGCGCCGCGUGAGGGAUGACGGCCUUCGGGUUGUAAACCUCUUUCGCCUGUGACGAAGCGCAAGUGACGGUAACAGGUAAAGAAGCACCGGCCAACUACGUGCCAGCCGCCGCCGUAAGAC